rnacentral:rRNA from 1 species
AAGUCGUAACAAGGUUUCCGUAGGUGAACCUGCGGAAGGAUCAUUACCGAAUUGUUGACACGAGUUGUUGCUGGCCCCCAAAGGGGGGCAUUGUGCACACUCUGUUUACGCAUCCACUGACACCUGUGCACCCUCUGUAGCUCCAUGGUCUGGGGGACUCUGUCUCUCGGCUGUGGUUCUAUGUCUUUACACACACGCUGUAAUGAAGUCUUGUGGGAUGUAUGUCGCGUUCGACGCGAUACGAUAAAUACAACUUUCAGCAACGGAUCUCUUGGCUCUCGCAUCGAUGAAGAACGCAGCGAAAUGCGAUAAGUAAUGUGAAUUGCAGAAUUCAGUGAAUCAUCGAAUCUUUGAACGCACCUUGCGCCCUUUGGCCGUUCCAAAGGGCAUGCCUGUUUGAGUAUCAUGAACACCUCAACUCUCAUGGGUUUGCCAUGAUGAGCUUGGAGUUUUGGGGGUUUUGCUGGCCUAUCGUCGGCUCCUCUCAAACGAAUCAGCUUGCCGGUGUUUGGUGGCGUCAGAGGUGUGAUAACUAUCUGCGCUUGUGGUGUUCCACCAGGUGAAAUUCAGCGAUGGAGGUUUGCUGGAGCUCACAAAUGUGUCACCCUUUGGCGGGGGACGCUGUUUUUGAACGUUUGAUCUCAAAUCAGGUAGGACUACCCGCUGAACUUAA